rnacentral:rRNA from 1 species
AUUGAACGCUGGCGGCAUGCCUUACACAUGCAAGUCGAACGGCAGCACGGGUGCUUGCACCUGGUGGCGAGUGGCGAACGGGUGAGUAAUACAUCGGAACGUACCUUAUCGUGGGGGAUAACGCGGCGAAAGUUGCGCUAAUACCGCAUACGCCCUGAGGGGGAAAGCGGGGGACCGUAAGGCCUCGCGCGAUUAGAGCGGCCGAUGUCUGAUUAGCUUGUUGGUGAGGUAAAAGCUCACCAAGGCGAUGAUCAGUAGCUGGGCUGAGAGGACGAUCAGCCACACUGGGACUGAGACACGGCCCAGACUCCUACGGGAGGCGGCAGUGGGGAAUUUUGGACAAUGGGGGCAACCCUGAUCCAGCAAUGCCGCGUGAGUGAAGAAGGCCUUCGGGUUGUAAAGCUCUUUUGUCAGGGAAGAAACAGCAGCUCUAACACAGUCUGCGAAUGACGGUACCUGAAGAAUAAGCACCGGCUAACUACGUGCCAGCAGCCGCGGUAA